UAUUUCUGAAACUUAAUUAUAUUAUGAUAUAUAUAUUUUUAUUGUGUCUGUUGUUGAAUAUAAUGCUACUUCAUAGACAUAAUAGGCCUAUAGAAUGUUAUUUUACGUAUCAAUAUUCCCAUGUACUAGUGUUGAGGUUGUAGACUACACAACUUCUUACUUAGUGAAGUGUAGUGAAUCUCCAAGUGCAGUGUAGUGUCUGUUAGUGAAUGAGUGAAUGUAAACAAACGUGCUUACAAUAAAUCCACGUAAAAAAUUUCAGAUUUUGUACCAUUACUACGUCUGUCAAUUAUUUUGCCUUGCAUGAUAUAAUGUUUUGAUGUGGUUUUAGGCUAAAUUGUAUCUCAAAUUAUUUUUCUAGGAAUCAGAAAACACAACCUGCUAAAGCACCACGCAAGAAGAAGAGCAAGUCUUCCAAGUCCGAGAGUGUGUCUGCGAGAUCAAUUGAAACUAAUCAAGCUACAAUGUACAUGUAACGUACAAUCACAAUUCGAUGCCUGUGAACAGCAUGACCAACAUCUGUAUCCUUUACAUUAGUAUUUGUUUCCAUUUUAUUAUGUAAUUCUUAUGUCUAAUCAUUGAGAUUCAUAGGCAAGUACAACAUGUAUGUGUACACAAUGAGUGCCUGCAUAUUGUGAAGAUAAAGGACCAUAAGACCAUUACUUAUGAUACAUGGUAAUGAUGGUAUACUUUGUAAAACUAUUUGAAAAUAGUAGCAUGUAAGUCUGUCAUUUUCUUGUUUAUAUAUAUCUCAAUGACAUGACAUGUCAUUGAUUUUGUAGUAAGUGUUUCUAGAUUAUGAUGAUUGUAUUAAGAUUUUGACAGUUCAAUUGAGAUUGAGAAAAUUAUGUAACAUGUCAACUGUACAAUAGAGCAUGCAUGCAUUGUUGAAAAAUCUGUUUUAUGAUUUAUUUUAUUUUGUUAUCUUUGUAAAUAACGAGA
rnacentral:lncRNA from 1 species